rnacentral:lncRNA from 1 species
GUUUGUUUUAUACAUGGUUUCUCUGUGUAGCCCUGGCUGGCCUGGAACUCACAACGUAGACCAGGCUGGCCUCCAGUUCACAGAGAUCCUCCUGCCUCUGCCUUCCUAGUGCUGGGAUGAAAGAAAUGAUUUAUCUUGUUUUAUCAUGGAGGCCAUAAGACCUCUCUCCUGUACGCAAACAUCAUUUGGGGAAUGGGCAAAGAUAGCAGCCUGGGACCAGCUGAAGUGGGAAUAUGGAAAACAACAAAACAAAACAGGUAGUAUGCACCUCAGAGUCUGGCAGCACCCAGAAGUGACUUGGAACAGAGGAGCUGUCAUCUGGACCCAGUGAUUCUGGAACACUGAACUCGAACCUGAUGGGGUGGGAGUUGGGUAUGCACGGUCAUCAGCAGAAGCAACAGUGUGGAGAAGAUAGGUCUAUGGAAGAUACGUCUGUGUUUGGAUGAGUCAGUCACGUGCUCAACAAAUGAUGCACAGAACAUCUAGAGACCCAGAAACUGAUGGGAAAGUGUGGCUAAAGAAUUCUCCAAGGCCAGGCCUUGCAGCAUGUAGGAUUAAUGUGAUGGGAAGGUGUGGAAGGGUGUCAGUUAGAUGAUGGGAACUUGUAGAUGUGGCAAACAGGAUCCAUCCCGGGAAAUGAUGCUGAUGCUGGUGCUGAUGCUGGUGCUGAUGCUGAUGUUGAUGCUGUGCUGAGUAUCUGCUAAACCCUGCAGCCCAUCAGCCCUCAAGCUGAUGUGAAUAAAUUAGACUUAGAAAAGACCUGUGCCUGAAGUAGUUUUGCUCAGCCACGCUUCUUGCCAUAACGUGUUAACCUCAGCGCAGAUCCAGAGCAACGUGACCAACUGAUCCUUCA